GCGUCGGUGGUAUAACGGUUAGCAUAGCUGACUUCCAAGCAGUUGACCCGGGUUCGACUCCCGGCCGACGCA
rnacentral:tRNA from 1 species